UGGAAUGGUUAUUAUUGUGUAAUUUUUUAAGAAAUUGUGUUAUUUUAUGAAGAGUGAUUUUUUCUCUUAUUAUAUGACAAUAUAUGUAUUAGAACUUUUGUAUUCAGGUUUAACUAUUCUUUUGUAGUUGUGUGUCUUAUUUUAUCUUAUUGUAUAACAUUAAAUGCUGUGUUUGAUGUGUAAUAAAUAUUUUGUGGCAGAGAAAUUAAUAAAUUCCCUUAUUGGAUUAUAAGCUAAGUAUCCAGAGUGUUUAUGAUUGUGUGUUUAUAUAGUGUUGUGUUUUUAUUUUAUAUGGUAUUAUGAUUGUGUUUUUUCUAUAUUAUUGUUUUUUUUUAUUUUACAUGCUAUACUUUAUGUAUUAUUUGUUUUACAACAUGGUAUGUAUUAGCGGUUUACUACUUAGGUGUUGUCGCCCAUGUUCCUACAAAUCUGGUGUCAUUAACUGCUUUUUAUGGUGUAUAAAUAUCGUAUUACUUGAUUAUUUAAUAAACAUAUCAUACUCGAUUAUGUCCAGUUUUAUUCACAAGGUUUGUUUAGUUCAUAUUCUUUCUGUUUUGAAAACAAGUGCAUUGCAUUAUGUGAUAAUUGUCUGCAUUGUUUUUGUAUUACAUUCUGAGUUACUAACAGCAAAGUUGAUGCAUUACUGCUUUCUAAUUCUAUCAGGUUGCAGGUGGUUAUGGAUGAUUUUCUAAAGAAUGUUGUUUUUAGUAACAUCGAUGAUGUGUGGGAAAUUAGUGAGCCACGAUCUGUUAUAAUACUGGGUACCGUAAAGGAAAUAUCCAGGGAGGUUGGUUGGUUUUCUUUGAAGUGUCCUAAUUGUUUAAAUGAGGCUUGUACAAAAAACAUGGGUUUAACUAAAUUUGAAGGAGGUUGUGAUCAAGAACAACAUACGUUGUAUGUGUGCACUAAUGAAUUUUGUCGAAAAAAUGUUAUUGAUGAACCGGUUUUAAGAUUGAAGGUUCGUGUUGAGGAUAGCAGUGGUGAUGUAUCUCUUAUUUUGUUUCAUAAUACAGCAUGUUAUCGAGAAGUCUGCAAAACAGUUGAUUCAGGAUAACACAAUGGAUGAUGGUACUGUGCGAUUUCCAAACGAAUUAAAAACUUUGGUGGAUAAAUUGUUUUCAUUCAAGAUUGAAGUCAGCGAGACUAACUUGACAUAUUGUGAUGAAGAAUACGAGAUUCAAAGAAUAACUGACAAUGAAUCAGUUGUUGAUGUGGUUAAAUAAAUGUCUGGGAUUAGUCAGAGCUGUAUGCUUGAUGAUAAGAAGAAUGGUACUCCAAUUUCGCUUGUGAUGAGUUCUGAUGGUGAUUCAAUUGAUAAAAAAACAUGUUCAAUGGUUUGUAAAGAUACGACGUCUAAGCGUAAAUUGCUUGAUCUUUACAAUUUGGAUGUCAUUUCGAACUCGAGCAUCUGUGAAAGUACAAGUAAUAAUAUUGUGGAGAGCGUGAAAGAUGUUGGUAAGAAAGAGAUUAGUUUACCGAUUUUAAUGAGUGAGAUGUUGUUUCUUUUGUUUGUUGCAUUUUAGAG